CAGCGUUAACUUCCGGUGCAAGUGAAAGUCGCCGCAAAGUGGCUGUGAAAAUAAAAUGCGAUGAAAAAUUAAGACAUUGACAUUGUUGUAUAUGCCAGUGAUCCUGUAUUGACUUUUUCAAAAUGCCAAAGUUAUCAGAUGUUGUCUGCAAAACAGCUCCACUAAGAAAAUUUAAUAAUUAUAAACCAAACCCUUACAAAUAUAAGAUUGUUUUACCACCAGUGUUAAGAGACGAAGUUUCCAAUCGUGGACAAAAAACGAACAAGGCUGUAUGUGUACAAGAGAUGUCUACGAUGAUGGUUUGUUUUAAGAGAAAUAAUUAUGAUGAAAGCUUAUGUCAUAAAGAAGUAACAGAUUUUAAUAAAUGUGUUGUUAAUGCAAAGGAAGCAAGAAGAAGGCAGGAGGACGCCAUUACACAGGGCAAAACAUUAGAAGGAACUGGCAAACAGUCGGCCCCAGUAGUUAAUAAACUAUUAUCACGAUAUCCUCAACCCAAAUCACACUUUUAUUUAGAAUAAAAGAAGACACGUUGUUAGAAUAUAGUGUUAGACGGGUGUAUUACUAGUGUGUGUAUUGUAUGUCAUUAUCAUCGUGUAUAUGAUUUAUAAAGAUUUUAUAUAUACAUAACUGUUUGUUUUAUACACCCAUAUUGAAAUUCGGUCGUGUAUAUCGCCGUCGCCCCUAUCGUCCACAAUUUCUUGUGAAUACUUUUGAACUCUGGAGACAGUGCUUCUUCUGCAAAUUCUAAUUUCCCAAAUUAAUAUGUAUUUUUUUUUACAUUAUUAAGAUGACUUUCUUUGGUUUCUGAUAAGAACUUUCAGGGUUUUGCUCUUGGUCACAUUAAGGAAUCCUAUGAACAUUUCUAGUGACAGGGGUUUAAGAGGUUAAGGUUGCCCUUGCUCACUUUGUAGAAUUUAUCAAAAGUUACCUUCAGUCAGCUUGGAAUUUGUAGGCAUCGUAAAGAUUAGUAAUACAAAGAGGCAAUAUAAUUUAUGUUAAAAUGAUUGCGAUUCCUUUUUUUGAAUAAUUUUGUGAAUGCUCUAGCCACUAAAUGUACAAAUUAUGUUGUGCAAAUGAGUUACUGGAAGAAGCACAUUCAAAUUUCUUUAAUUACUUUCAGAGUUAUUGGCUUGCACAGUUGGGUUAGAAGUAAAUACACGGAAGUGGGUUAGGGUGAUUGGUGAAUCUAUCAAGUUCGGUGGGGAACACGCCUUAUAUCUUUAGAAAACACAAGUAGUCAUAUCUACUAACCCCUGGCUUAAUUACCAUCUAAUUUUG